AGGAUAAGGAGCUGAUAUCAGGCACAAACUUGCCCAAAACAUCUAGCCACGCCACACCCAUAAGGGUUCUCAGCAGUGAUUAACAUUAAGAAUAAACGUCAGUUUGACUUAGUCAAAUGAAUAGAGUCGGCCAAUCUGGUGCCAGCCGCCGCGGUUACACCACGUGACUCAAAUUGAUUUUAAUGCGGCGUAAAGCGUGAUUAAAGAGAUACCUCCUGGGGUUAAACUUAAAUUAAGCUGUCGCACGAUUAUUCUUAAGAAAUCCUAUAUCGAAAGAUACCCCAACUCACCCACUUGAACUCACAACAACUAGAACACAAACUGGGAUUAGAUACCCCACUAUGCCUAGUCGUAAACUUUUACUUACAUCUCAUCGCCAGGGGACUACGAGCAAAGCUUAAAACCCAAAGGACUUGACGGUACCCCACAUCCUUCUAGAGGAGCCUGUCCUAUAAUCGAUACUCCCCGUUCAACCUCACCAUUUUUAGCCUAUCAGCCUGUAUACUUCCGUCGUCAGCUUACCGCAUGAGCGAAUUAGUAAGCAUAAAGUUAUUUAUCAAUACGUCAGGUCAAAGUGCAGCAUAUAAAGUGGCAAGAGAUGGGCUACACUCUCUAUCAUARAAAACUACGAAAAAUUAUGUGAAACCAUACUCAGAAGGCGGAUUUAGUAGUAAGGGGGGACUARAAUGCCCCCCUUAACCUGGCACUGGG
rnacentral:rRNA from 1 species